rnacentral:rRNA from 1 species
UACGAAGGGGGCUAGCGUUGCUCGGAAUGACUGGGCGUAAAGGGCGCGUAGGCGGCUCAUACAGUCAGAUGUGAAAUUCCUGGGCUUAACCUGGGGGCUGCAUUUGAUACGUGUGGGCUUGAGUGGGGAAGAGGGUCGUGGAAUUCCCAGUGUAGAGGUGAAAUUCGUAGAUAUUGGGAAGAACACCGGUGGCGAAGGCGGCGACCUGGUCCUUGACUGACGCUGAGGCGCGAAGGCCAGGGGAGCAAACGGG